rnacentral:snRNA from 1 species
GUCGCUUCUCCGCUCUCUCAGUUGAGAUCGUGUGUAGUAUCUGUUCUUUGCAGUGUAAUUUAUGCAACGGUCUCUAAACUGAGACCAAUGAAAAUUNNN